AUUGAACGCUGGCGGCAGGCCUAACACAUGCAAGUCGAACGGCAGCACAGAAGAGCUUGCUCUUUGGGUGGCGAGUGGCGGACGGGUGAGUAAUGUCUGGGAAACUGCCCGAUGGAGGGGGAUAACUACUGGAAACGGUAGCUAAUACCGCAUAACGUCGCAAGACCAAAGUGGGGGACCUUCGGGCCUCACACCAUCGGAUGUGCCCAGAUGGGAUUAGCUAGUAGGUGGGGUAAUGGCUCACCUAGGCGACGAUCCCUAGCUGGUCUGAGGGGAUGACCAGCCACACUGGAACUGAGACACGGUCCAGACUCCUACGGGAGGCAGCGGUGGGGAAUAUUGCACAAUGGGCGCAAGCCUGAUGCAGCCAUGCCGCGUGUAUGAAGAAGGCCUUCGGGUUGUAAAGUACUUUCAGCGGGGAGGAAGGCGGUGAGGUUAAUAACCUUGCCGAUUGACGUUACCCGCAGAAGAAGCACCGGCUAACUCCGUGCCAGCCGCCGCGGUAA
rnacentral:rRNA from 1 species